GAUCAGUGAGCAACGCUAGGACUUUGAUUAGAUAGUUCUCUUUUCUCUCCCCACCCCUAUUCACCGUGGAGGGAGGAGCAGGAAAAGGAAGAGGAUUUGAAUGAAGAGGCAAAGCUGGAUCAGUUACAGGAACUGAGAGUGACCCAUUCUCCCCAAGGAUGGGCCAUGAGGGACUUGCCAGAGCCCCGCCGGUAGCCAUCAGGAAUGGGGCAGGAUUUCCACCUCUUCUCCGGGAAGUUUCUGCUGUCGAAAUUUGGCUGUCCUGCAUGACUGGAGAAUAUGCUCUCCUCACAUCUGUCUCUUAGCAUCUCUAGUGUCCUUCAAGACACAACUCAGGAGCUAUCAACUGUAAGGAAAUCCUUACUUAUCCCCCCUAGAUCUCACUUCAAAUUGCAAGAAUCAUCAACAAGCAACACAAGACCAAACAGCAGUUGUGUCUCCAAAGAAACAAAUUCUCACAGAUUUUGGUUGUCCUUGAUAAAGUGUCUCUCACAAGGUGGAAGGAAACCUAUAAACAGAGACAAACAUGCAACUGACUGGACUAUCAGGAAGAUGGAUUUUCAAGGACAAGAGUCUACUUGACCUAGAUUGGUUGAGAGGUGCAGAAAUUCUCCUGCUUUUUUUUUCCCUAUGAUCUGAUGAACCUGAAAGAGAACUGUAGAAUCUUGAAAGAAGCAGCCCUUGAAAAAUUAUUUUAUUUGAGGAUGCACUGUCUUCAAGAUGGGGAUCUGUUUUCUUUGGGAAGCUCUGACAUUUUAUUUAAGAAAUCACUUUACCAAAUUUGAAUGCCUUUAUAGCCAGUGAGACUGCACUCCAGAAUUCCUCUACCAUGCUCUGGUUCUUUAUCCUAAAACCCUCACUCAAGCCCAGGAAUUCAUAAGUUGGAAGUACCCCUCAGCACCUGCACCUUCUGCCAUCAGAACUUCCAGUUAAGGGGGCAGAGGAUGCAGCACCCAGGGCGGCCAUGUCUCUUUCCUCCUAGACUUUCUCUACUACCCUCUGCCCUUCUCUCUUUAAGCUUCUUCGUAAGGGUUAUCUUUCCUCAUUAUAAUGUAAGCUUUUAGUGGGCAAGGACUGUGUUUAUUUCUACUUGUAUUUGUGUUUCAUUACUUA